rnacentral:lncRNA from 1 species
AUGAAUAUUAGCAUAAACAAUAUUCUUGCAAUCUUAUGCAUUGUUUUGUUCAUCGUGAACUCAGGGGUGAGAAGUGAACAGGUUAUUGUUGGCUCUAAAGUCUGCCCUGGUGGGUCUUGUCCAAAUAAUGGUGGAUCUUGUUCCAAAUUUUGUCAAGAAAAUAGUUUUUCUAAAGGUGGAAAUUGUAUUGGAAAUGUGUGUUGUUGCGAUAAAUAG